GGCUCGGUGGUGUAAUGGUACAGCACGCGUUCCCGGAUAGGAUAAAACGCGCGUUCGAUUCCCGUCUGAGGCCG